rnacentral:rRNA from 1 species
GACGAACGCUGGCGGCGUGCUUAACACAUGCAAGUCGAACGAUGACGGUGGUGCUUGCACCACCUGAUUAGUGGCGAACGGGUGAGUAACACGUGAGUAACCUGCCCUUCACUUCGGGAUAACCUCGGGAAAUCGUGGCUAAUACCGGAUAUGAACCCUUGUCGCAUGGUGGGGGUUGGAAAGAUUUAUCGGUGAAGGAUGGACUCGCGG